UGAUUGGGAAUUACUCAAGUUCAAGGAGUUGAGCAAAACUAGUUUAGGCCAUUUGGAGUUUGGUUGAUUUGUAAGAAUUUCUCUUGCUCCUUGAUAAUGAUUACAGUCUCAGUUAACCAGGGUAGAAAUUCAUAAAUGUUGAGAAGAAAGUAUCAAGAAGCUCUACGGCAAUCAAACACUCAUGGUCUUCAUAGAAAAACAGAGACCUCUAAAUUUUGCACAGUAAUCUGAAUAUCAGAUAUUCUUGCAGGACUCAACAAUAAAUCAGUUUUGCAAAAAAGAAAUGAUUAAUACCAAUCUCAAUUUAUAAAUAUAUCAGUUCUUUGAAUUUGGCAGGUUUACUGAAGAAAGAUCAUGAAACACAUACGGUAAUUGGUUCAUAACUUGCCUCGAAGGAUGCAGAUUAGAAGUGGGCCCCGUAACAAGUUAGGCAGUUUUGUGGCUGGAGUGAAAUGCUGCGUGACUAUAGCAGCGCCAAUUAAUGCCACGUGUGCUUGUCCCAAAUGCUCCUUUUUCUGGUAUUUUACAGCUCUUUCCUAUUUCAACAGUUUUCUUUGAUUUUUAUUUACCUGCACUGCAUCUAAAACUUAUGAUGCGUUUAUGCAGCCUCUUCCCCGGAAAACAACACUGCUAUUUGUUAUGCAUCAUAAAAAUAAUAAUAAUAAUAAUAUAUUCUGGAUUUAAUGCCUUUGAAAUUGCUCUAAACUGAUUUGGGAUGCCAUGAGCUCAAACCUUUGAGGUAUAUGUACUUGUUUAUUCCUCUUGAAUAUUUGGAGCCUCUCAUGAGGGAAGAUACACCAGAAGUAAGAGG
rnacentral:lncRNA from 1 species